GUUCCUGUAGCACAAUGGAUAGUGCAUUGGACUUUUAAUCCAAAGGUCGUAGGUUUAACCCUACCUGGGAUG
rnacentral:tRNA from 1 species